GCUUAGCCCGGUAGAGCGACUGGCUUGUAACCAGUAGGUCGAGGGUUCAAAUCCCUCCCG
rnacentral:tRNA from 1 species